rnacentral:tRNA from 2 species
GCCCAGCUAGCUCAGUCAGUAGAGCAUGAGACUCUUAAUCUCAGGGUCAUGGGUUUGAGCCCCACAUUGGGUA